ACAAAGGAGAUUUCAGGACCACUAUUCAUUUUGCAGAUCUGGGCUUGGGAGAGAUUUAAAAUAAUCUCUCCAUCAAUAAGGGAUCCAUCAGCUCCUCAUGAUGCACCUCUAGGUGCUAGGUGGAGUAGAGCUCGACAAAUCACUGAAGUAACAACUCAUGUACUGCCACAAAUUCGGUACAACCUUGACCGGAUGCGACCUGAAGAUAUCACUUGGGAACCAUAUAGUGAGGAAUUAUUGGAUGAGCUGCCAGACAUGUGUAUCCAAGGUCGUCCCAGUUGGAAGACAGUGGUGCCAUUAAUUUGCUUUCAUAUUAUUGAAUGGCACCAACCUGACAGAGUCAUGAGGCAGUUUGGUUUGGCCCAGCCUAUUCCAGCACCACCGAUGCAAACAGAUGAG